rnacentral:rRNA from 1 species
GAUGAACGCUAGCGACAGGCUUAACACAUGCAAGUCGAGGGGCAGCGAGGGCGUAGCAAUACGCCUGUCGGCGACCGGCGCACUGGUGAGUAACACGUAUGCGACCUGCCCCCUACAGGGGUAUAACCCCGUAGAAAUGCGGACUAAUCCCCCAUAGUCCCGCGGGCUGCAUGGUCUGCGGGGGAAAGGCCAGCCGGUAGGGGAUGGGCAUGCGGCGCAUUAGCUAGUUGGCGGGGCAACGGGCCCACCAAGGCGACGAUGCGUAGGGGUUCUGAGAGGAAGGUCCCCCCACACUGGUACUGAGACACGGACCAGACUCCUACGGGAGGCAGCAGUGAGGAAUAUUGGUCAAUGGGCGAGAGCCUGAACCAGCCAAGUAGCGUGCAGGGAAGACGGCCCUAUGGGUUGUAAACUGCUUUUAUAGGGGAAUAAAGUGAGCACGUGUGGUUUUUUGCAUGUACCCUAUGAAUAAGGACCGGCUAAUUCCGUG